ACCAAGGAGUCUGACAUGUGUGC
rnacentral:siRNA from 1 species